UGGGUUAGAUACCCCACUAUGCUUAGCCCUAAACAACGAUCUUAUCUCACAAUAUUAUCCGCCAGAGAACUACAAGCGAAAAGCUAAAAACUCUAAGGACUUGGCGGUGCUUCAAACCAACCUAGAGGAGCCUGUCCUAUAAUCGAUACCCCACGCUUUACCUUACCCCCCUUUGCCAAUCAGUCUAUAUACCGCCGUCGUCAGCCUACCUUAUGAAAGAAAUAAAGUAGGCAAAAUAGUCAAUAACUAACACGUCAGGUCAAGGUGUAACACACGGGGCGGCAGAGAUGGGCUACAUUUUACAACAACUACACGAAUAACGCAUUGAAAUACGUGUUUAAAGGUGGAUUUAGUAGUCGUAUAGAGAAGAAAACCUAUACUAAACCCGCUCUGAAGCGCGCACACACCGCCC
rnacentral:rRNA from 1 species